rnacentral:rRNA from 1 species
GACGAACGCUGGCGGCGUGCCUAAUACAUGCAAGUCGAGCGAGCGGAACUAACAGAUUUACCUCGGUAAUGACGUUAGGAAAGCGAGCGGCGGAUGGGUGAGUAACACGUGGGGAACCUGCCCCAUAGUCUGGGAUACCACUUGGAAACAGGUGCUAAUACCGGAUAAGAAAGCAGAUCGCAUGAUCAGCUUUUAAAAGGCGGCGUAAGCUGUCGCUAUGGGAUGGCCCCGCGGUGCAUUAGCUAGUUGGUAAGGUAAAGGCUUACCAAGGCGAUGAUGCAUAGCCGAGUUGGGAGACUGAUCGGCCACCUUGGGACUGAGACACGGCCCAAACUCCUACGGGAGGCAGCAGUAGGGAAUCUUCCACAAUGGACGCAAGUCUGAUGGAGCAACGCCGCGUGAGUGAAGAAGGUUUUCGGAUCGUAAAGCUCUGUUGUUGGUGAAGAAGGAUAGAGGUAGUAACUGGCCUUUAUUUGACGGUAAUCAACCAGAAAGUCACGGCUAACUACGUG